AUUGAACGCUGGCGGCAGGCCUAACACAUGCAAGUCGAACGAGUGGCGGACGGGUGAGUAAUGUCUGGGAAACUGCCUGAUGGAGGGGGAUAACUACUGGAAACGGUAGCUAAUACCGCAUACCAUCGGAUGUGCCCCGAGCGGAGUGGCUAGUGGGUGGGGUAAAGGCUCACCUAGGCGACGAUCCCUAGCUGGUCUGAGAGGAUGACCGGCAACCUUGGAACUGAGACACGGACCAGACUCCGACGGGAGGCAGCAGUGGGGAAUAUUGGACAAUGGGCGCAAGCCUGAUGCAGCCAUGCCGCGUGUAGGAAGAAGGCCUUCGGGUUGUAAAGUUCUUUCAGCGGGGAGGCGUUACCCACAGAGGAAGCACCGGCUAACUCCGUGCCAGAAGCCGCGGUAAUAC
rnacentral:rRNA from 1 species